AUGCUUGCUUCGGCGGCACAUAUACUAAAAAUGGAACAAUACAGAGAAGAUUAGCAAGGUCCCUGCGCAAGGAUGACACGCAAAUUCGAGAUAUUUAAAAAAAAAAA
ensembl:snRNA U6 U6 spliceosomal RNA